AGAGUUUGAUCCUGGCUCAGGAUGAACGUUGGCGGUGUGCCUAAUACAUGCAAGUCGAACGGAGUUAAUAGCAAUAUUGACUUAGUGGCGAACGGGUGAGUAACGCGUUGGUGAUCUGCCUCGAAGUGUGGAAUAACGUUCCGAAAGGAACGCUAAUACCGCAUGUGCUCUCGAUUUUUAGAAACUUGAGAGUAAAGGAUUUAUUCGCUUCGAGAGGAGCCUGCGUCCCAUCAGCUGGUUGGUAGGGUAACGGCCUACCAAGGCUAUGACGGGUAGGGGACCUGAGAGGGUGGCCCCCCACAAUGGAACUGAAACACGGUCCAUACACCUACGGGUGGCAGCAGUAGGGAAUUUUAGAAAUGGACGAAAGUCUGAUCUAGCAACACCGCGUGUGCGAAGAAGGCCUUCGGGUCGUAAAGCACUUUUUGGAAGGAAUAGGAAGGAAUGUACUUCCAGAAUAAGUCUCGGCUAACUACGUGCCAGCAGCCGCGGUAACACGUAGGAGGCAAACGUUAUCCGGAUUUACUGGGCGUAAAGCGCGUGUAGGUGGUACUGUAAGUAGGGCGUGAAAGCUCCCGGCUCAACUGGGAGAGGCCGUUCUAAACUGCAGAACUAGAGGAUGGUAGAGGGAGGUGGAAUUCCAGGUGUAGCGGUGGAAUGCGCAGAUAUCUGGAGGAACACCAGUGGCGAAGGCGGCCUCCUGGACCAUUCCUGACACUCAGACGCGAAAGCUAGGGUAGCAAACGGGAUUAGAGACCCCGGUAGUCCUAGCCCUAAACGAUGUAGACUAGGCGUCGGUGGUUUAAUCACCAUCGGUGUCCAAGCUAACGCGAUAAGUCUACCGCCUGGGGACUACGGCCGCAAGGUUAAAACUCAAAUGAAUUGACGG
rnacentral:rRNA from 1 species